GAUGAACGCUGGCGGCGUGCCUAAUACAUGCAAGUCGAGCGAACAGACGAGGAGCUUGCUCCUCUGACGUUAGCGGCGGACGGGUGAGUAACACGUGGAUAACCUACCUAUAAGACUGGGAUAACUUCGGGAAACCGGAGCUAAUACCGGAUAACAUGUUGAACCGCAUGGUUCAACAGUGAAAGACGGUCUUGCUGUCACUUAUAGAUGGAUCCGCGCCGCAUUAGCUAGUUGGUAAGGUAACGGCUUACCAAGGCAACGAUGCGUAGCCGACCUGAGAGGGUGAUCGGCCACACUGGAACUGAGACACGGUCCAGACUCCUACGGGAGGCAGCAGUAGGGAAUCUUCGGCAAUGGGCGAAAGCCUGACGGAGCAACGCCGCGUGAGUGAUGAAGGUCUUCGGAUCGUAAAACUCUUUUAUUAGGGAAGAACAAAUGUGUAAGUAACUAUGCACGUCUUGACGGUACCUAAUCAGAAAGCAACGGCUAACUACGUG
rnacentral:rRNA from 1 species